GAUGAACGCUAGCGAUAGGCCUUACACAUGCAAGUCGAGGGGCAGCGCGAGAAAGUAGCAAUACCUUCUUGGCGGCGACCGGCGGAUGGGUGAGUAACGCGUAUGCAACCUACCUACUACUUUGGGAUAGCUCGUUGAAAGACGAAUUAAUACCUUAUAAUACAGGGACUCCGCAUGGAGAUAUUUGUUAAAGAUUUAUUGGUAGUAGAUGGGCAUGCGUUCCAUUAGUUAGUUGGUGAGGUAACGGCUCACCAAGACAACGAUGGAUAGGGGAACUGAGAGGUUUGUCCCCCACACUGGAACUGAGACACGGUCCAG
rnacentral:rRNA from 1 species